GAUGAACGCUGGCGGCGUGCUUAACACAUGCAAGUCGAACGAUGAAGCCCAGCUUGCUGGGUGGAUUAGUGGCGAACGGGUGAGUAACACGUGAGUAACCUGCCCUUAACUCUGGGAUAAGCCUGGGAAACUGGGUCUAAUACCGGAUAGGAGCGUCCACCGCAUGGUGGGUGUUGGAAAGAUUUAUCGGUUUUGGAUGGACUCGCGGCCUAUCGGCUUGUUGGUGAGGUAAUGGCUCACCAAGGCGACAACGGGUAGCCGGCCUGAGAGGGUGACCGGCCACACUGGGACUGAGACACGGCCCAGACUCCUACGGGAGGCAGCAGUGGGGAAUAUUGCACAAUGGGCGCAAGCCUGAUGCAGCGACGCCGCGUGAGGGAUGACGGCCUUCGGGUUGUAAACCUCUUUCAGUAGGGAAGAAGCGAAAGUGACGGUACCUGCAGAAGAAGCACCGGCUAACUACGUG
rnacentral:rRNA from 1 species